rnacentral:rRNA from 1 species
CCUACGGGAGGCAGCAGUGGGGAAUUUUGGACAAUGGGGGCAACCCUGAUCCAGCAAUGCCGCGUGAGUGAAGAAGGCCUUCGGGUUGUAAAGCUCUUUUGUCAGGGAAGAAACACCGGCUCUAACACAGUCCGGGAAUGACGGUACCUGAAGAAUAAGCACCGGCUAACUACGUGCCAGCAGCCGCGGUAAUACGUAGGGUGCGAGCGUUAAUCGGAAUUACUGGGCGUAAAACGUGCGCAGGCGGUUAUACAAGACAGGCGUGAAAUCCCCGGGCUUAACCUGGGAAUGGCGCCUGUGACUGUAUAGCUAGAGUGUGUCAGAGGGGGGUAGAAUUCCACGUGUAGCAGUGAAAUGCGUAGAUAUGUGGAGGAAUACCAAUGGCGAAGGCAGCCCCCUGGGAUAACACUGACGCUCAUGCACGAAAGCGUGGGGAGCAAACAGGAUUAGAUACCCUGGUAGUCCACGCCCUAAACGAUGCUGACUAGUUGUUCGGGAUUUACAUCCUGAGUAACGUAGCUAACGCGUGAAGUCAGCCGCCUGGGGAGUACGGUCGCAAGNUUAAAACNCAAAUGAAUUGACGG